rnacentral:lncRNA from 1 species
AAAAAAAAAUCUAAUUUAUAUACAUUUAUGCGAGAAUGAUAAACACACAAGGUAUAUAAAAUCUAAAAGCCCAAUGACUAGUGGGAAGUAAUACAAAUUUAAGUUCUUUUUAUUAAGUCUCUCUUAGGGAGUUGUAAGCUAAUUAAUACUUUGGAAUUUCACUACACACUGGCCGACCCUUCUAAGGUCUAGGCUCGAC